rnacentral:rRNA from 1 species
GGCGGCAUGCCUUACACAUGCAAGUCGAACGGCAGCACGGGAGCAAUCCUGGUGGCGAGUGGCGAACGGGUGAGUAAUACAUCGGAACGUGUCCUGUAGUGGGGGAUAGCCCGGCGAAAGCCGGAUUAAUACCGCAUACGCUCUACGGAGGAAAGGGGGGGAUCUUAGGACCUCCCGCUACAGGGGCGGCCGAUGGCAGAUUAGCUAGUUGGUGGGGUAAAGGCCUACCAAGGCGACGAUCUGUAGCUGGUCUGAGAGGACGACCAGCCACACUGGGACUGAGACACGGCCCAGACUCCUACGGGAGGCAGCAGUGGGGAAUUUUGGACAAUGGGGGAAACCCUGAUCCANCAAUGCCGCGUGUGUGAAGAAGGCCUUCGGGUUGUAAAGCACUUUUGUCCGGAAAGAAAGCCUCUGCCCUAAUACGGAGGGGGGAUG